GAGGUUGUGGCUCAGUGGUAGAGCACUUGCCUUGCAUGUGGGAGGCACUGGGUUUGAUCCUCAGCACCACA
rfam:Ictidomys tridecemlineatus contig047752, whole genome shotgun sequence.